rnacentral:rRNA from 1 species
UACGGGGGGAGCAAGCGUUGUUCGGAUUUACUGGGCGUAAAGGGCGCGUAGGCGGCCACCGCAAGUCGGUUGUGAAAUCUCCGGGCUUAACCCGGAAAGGUCAAUCGAUACUGCGGGGCUAGAGUGCAGAAGGGGCAACUGGAAUUCUCGGUGUAGCGGUGAAAUGCGUAGAUAUCGAGAGGAACACCUGCGGCGAAGGCGGGUUGCUGGGCUGACACUGACGCUGAGGCGCUAAAGCCAGGGGAGCGAACGGG